UACGUAGGGUGCAAGCGUUGUCCGGAAUUAUUGGGCGUAAAGAGCUCGUAGGCGGUUCGUCGCGUCGGCUGUGAAAACCCGGAGCUCAACUCCGGGCCUGCAGUCGAUACGGGCGGACUUGAGUUCGGCAGGGGAGACGUGGAAUUCCUGGUGGUAGCGGUGAAAUGCGCAGAUAUCAGGAGGAACACCGGUGGCGAAGGCGGGUCUCUGGGCCGAUACUGACGCUGAGGAGCGAAAGCGUGGGGAGCGAACAGG
rnacentral:rRNA from 1 species